rnacentral:rRNA from 1 species
UACCUUACCCCGCCCUUGACAUGUCUGAAAAUUUCCAAUUAUGGGUGGGCCCUUUGGGACAUCAAAAACAGAUGUGGCGCAUGGUUGUUCUCAGCUUGUGUUGAGAGAUGGGGGUAAAUCUCCCACAAAGAGCACCCCCCCUCUUUUUUUUCCCCCUCAUUAAGUUGGGCACUUUAAGGAGACUGCCGGUGACAAACCGGAGGAAGGUGGGGAUGACGUCAAAUCAUCAUGCCCCUUAUGUCCUGGGUUACACACGUGCUACAAUGGUCGGUACAAAGGGGAGCCAAGCCGGGAGGGGAGCCAAUCUCAAAAAACCGAUCCCAGUUCGGAUUGCAGUCUGCAACUCGCUGCAUGAAAGUCGAAUCGCUAGUAAUCGCGGAUCAGAGUCGUUGCGUCGGUU